AAAACUUUCAACAACGGAUCUCUUGGUUCUGGCAUCGAUGAAGAACGCAGCGAAAUGCGAUAAGUAAUGUGAAUUGCAGAAUUCAGUGAAUCAUCGAAUCUUUGAACGCACAUUGCGCCCCCUGGUAUUCCGGGGGGCAUGCCUGUCCGAGCGUCAUU
rnacentral:rRNA from 3 species